AACGAACGCUGGCGGCAUGCCUAACACAUGCAAGUCGAACGAGCCCUUCGGGUCUAGUGGCGCACGGGUGCGUCACGCGUGGGAACCUGCACUUAUGUUCGGACUAACUCCCCGAAAGGGGUAAUACUACCGAAUCAUGUCUUAGGCCCAAAGAUUUAUCGCCUUUGAUUGUGCCAGCGUUGCAUUAGCUAUUGGUGAGGGUAAAAGCAUACCAAGGCGCCGAUCGAUAACUGGUCUGAGAGGAUGAUCAGCCACACUGGGACUGAGAAACGGCCGAGACUCUUACGCGAGGCAGCAGUGGGGAAUAGAGGAAAACGGGGGAAAGGAUGAUCCAGCAAUGCCGCGAGAGUGAUGAAAGCAUUAGGGUUGUAAAGUGCAUGUACCCGGGAUGAUAAUGACAGUACCGGAAGAGUAAGCCCCGGCUAACUCCGUG
rnacentral:rRNA from 1 species